rnacentral:rRNA from 1 species
GACGAACGCUGGCGGCGUGCUUAACACAUGCAAGUCGAACGAAGUGGCGAACGGGUGAGUAAUACGUGGGUAACCUGCCCUCCUUUUUGGGAUAAGCCUUGGAAACGGGGUCUAAUCCCGAAUAAAGGGGGAUGGGCUCGCGGCCUAUCAGCUUGUUGGUGGGGUGAUGGCCUACCAAGGCGGUGACGGGUAGCCGGCCUGAGAGGGUGACCUGUCACAUGGGUGCUGAGAUACGGCCCAGACUGAUACGGGAGGCAGCAGUGGGGGAUAUUGCACAAUGGGCGAAAGCCUGAUGCAGCAACGCCGCGUGCGGGAUGACGGCCUUCGGGUUGUAAACCGCUUUCAGCUAUGACGCGGUAGUUGCAGAAGAAGCACCGGCUAACUACGUGCCAGCAGCCGCGGUAAUAC